GCUGCACCACCAGUCAUGGCAGCCACGGCGGCGUCUGCCGCGAGGGUCUUGCUCGGGGCAGCGGGGAACGCUGUGGCGGCUCCUGUUUCUUCUUCUUCUGCCGCCGCCGCCUCAGCUCGGCUUUGCGCCUGCUGCUGCAGCGGCGGCGGCGGCUUAAAGGCAAAUCCCUACUGCACGCUGGCCCCGCGGCAGCAACAGCAGCCCUCUGCUCCGCCUCCCGACAUGAAGAACUACCUGUGGAAGCGCUAUAACGAGGCCAAAAAAGUGACGAAAGACUUGGUCCCUUCAAUCAUGAGUAACUUGCUGAAUCCAGAUGCUAUCUUUUCCAACAAUGAAAUGAGUCUCUCAGACAUAGAAAUCUAUGGCUUUGAUUAUGACUACACGUUGGUCUUCUAUUCCAAGCAUUUGCACACAUUGAUCUUUAAUGCUGCCCGGGAUCUUUUGAUCAAUGAACAUCGGUAUCCUGCAGAAAUCCGGAAGUAUGACUAUGAUCCAAAUUUUGCAAUAAGAGGUCUACAUUAUGAUGUACAUCGGGCAUUAUUGAUGAAGAUAGAUGCUUUUCAUUAUAUUCAGUUAGGAACCGUAUACAGAGGACUCAGUGUUGUUCCAGAUGAAGAAGUCAUUGCCAUGUAUGAUGGGUCCCAUGUCCCCUUGGAACAAAUGAGCGACUUCUACGGGAAGAGUUCACAAGGUAACACUAUGAAGCAGUUCAUGGAUAUCUUCUCCUUGCCUGAGAUGACACUCCUCUCUUGCGUAAAUGAAUAUUUCCUGAAAAACAACAUAGACUAUGAGCCGGUUCAUCUCUACAAAGAUGUGAAGGACUCAAUCAGAGAUGUCCACAUCAAAGGAAUAAUGUAUCGUGCAAUUGAAGCGGAUAUUGAGAAAUAUAUUUGCUAUGCUGAGCAGACGCGUGCUGUGCUAGCAAAGUUGGCAAAUCAUGGCAAGAAGAUGUUCCUCAUUACGAACAGUCCUAGCAGCUUUGUGGAUAGAGGUAUGAAGUUUAUUGUUGGAAAAGACUGGAGGGAUCUCUUUGAUGUGGUCAUUGUCCAGGCUGACAAGCCAAACUUUUUCAAUGAUAAGAGAAGACCUUUCCGCAAAGUGAAUGAAAGAGGGGUUUUACUUUGGGACAAAAUUCAUGAACUGCGGAAAGGACAUAUCUACAAACAGGGUAACUUGUAUGAAUUUCUGAAACUGACUGGCUGGAGGGGUUCUAAAGUGUUGUAUUUUGGUGAUCAUAUUUACAGUGAUCUAGCAGAUUUGACCUUAAAGCAUGGCUGGCGAACAGGUGCAAUUAUUCCAGAGUUACGAACAGAGAUUAAGAUCAUGAACACAGAACAGUAUAUUCAGACCAUGACCUGGCUGCAAACCCUCACCGGAUUACUGGAACACAUGCAGGUUCACGGGGAUCCUGACUCUCAGCUGAUUUUGCAUGAGUGGAAAAGGGAAAGAAAGGAAAUGAGAGAAAUGACCAGGAACUUCUUCAACUCUCAGUUUGGAAGCUUAUUCAGGACUGACCAGAACCCAACUUAUUUCUUAAGACGCUUGUCUCGCUUCGCUGAUAUUUACAUGGCGUCGUUGAGUUGUCUUUUGAACUAUGAACAUGAUUACACAUUUUAUCCAAGGAGGACUCCUUUGCAGCAUGAACUCCCAACGUGGUCAGACCAGCUGUGCACUGGUACAUUCAGAAUACCAUUUCUGCAAGAGAUGAUUCAGAUCAAAUAAGUUCCCCUUCCACCCUACUUUUUAUAAUGUCAAUCAUUCACCAUUUUCCUCCCAACCCCUGGGGCUCCGCAGAGUAAAGAAAUAAUUUGGUCCCCCAAAUCCUGGGCAGGUAAAUGUUUAUUGCUGUGUGUUACACGUCUGUAAGCAUUUCUCUGUAUGUGAGAGUUUGCAGUUGCAUUGAUAUAUUUCUGAGUUGUACGUUGCAUAAUUUUUAAGAACAACUUGCUGGCAUGACUUUAUGUUGCCCCAGAUUUCAGUUAUUUGAAACAAGACUUCGAAGUAGGGCUGAGAUGAAAUUUCUCCUGGUUCUCUUUCUGCUUUGGAGGCUGUGACUUCAGGGGUUAAACCCCAUGAAAUCCUUAAUCAAGCCACUGAUGCUUCUCCCACCUCCCUGCUAUUCCCCCCAUCCCCCUUUUCAUUCACCCUUGAGUGAUCCCAACCAGGGAUCAUGCAGUGAAUGUGAUUUUGCAAGUACAAAGUAACCCGUUGGAUUAAUCUUUGUACUGAUAUCAUGAAGAGCAAAUAAAGCUAUUUAGGUUGAGGGCAGUGCUUUCUAUACUGGUCAUAUGGGCAAUCCUAGCCAGUCAUUCUAAUACAUUUUUUUUGCAUCCCUUUCAUAGUGGCCACCCCCACAAAGAACACAGAAAGGAACUCCCCUUUUGACACUAAAGGUCUUCAUGGAAUGUGUCCCCCACUUUUGACUCAGCCCUUCUUCUGAAUUCUCUGAAAUGCUGAUCACCCUAUUGCCUAAUGGUGAUCUUGUAUGCUUGAGAGGCUUGAGCUUGUAUUUCAGUGUUGCUGGGAUGUUAAGUAUUUUAUGCCUCUGCAUAUUACACUUGACACGCAAUGCAUGGUUUCCACUGACUGUUUUAAUGCUCUUUGCUAGAGAGAAUAAGACCCCGUCAAGUCAUUGGCCAAGAUGUGUCAAAAACACAUCUUACCUCUGUUUUGUUGCCUACUUUUAAAACAACACAACACUCAAAAAUGAGCAAUUCAGAGGACAGGACUGAUGGCUAAUAAAGGUUAAAACAGGGGUCAGUAUUACUUGAAACGCAUCUAGCACUCCUCAUAGCCCUUUUAAAGACUGUUCAAGAUGUUAAAUGAUAUAUAUUCUGAAAAUAAUAAUAUAAAAUAGUCAAAAGGUUUUCCAGAACUCUUAGCCUACAUUAUCCAGUGUUGUGAAUUUAGUUAAAUGUGGUGUGUUUCUCCUCCACACACUGACAGUUUUGAGAACUGUUUUGUAGAAAGGCUCUUCUGUUGCAGAAUAAAAACGUGAUUUUUCUUUGUAUAAAGUAUGUUAUCUGGUGCUGAUUGAUGCUACAUAUUUUUCUGCAUACUAUAUUGUAAAAUGUUUUGCAUGAGAAGUGAUUGGGGGACACCAUUGCACAAACAGCUUCAUACUAAUUUGUAAGAAAACUUUCAGACUAUUAUUUGUUGUUCUUGGUGUUACUAGUGCUGAUAUAUAUUUUAAUGUAGUCCCUUCUAAGUUAUGAAAUGUAACACGUGUAAUUUCCUUGAUAUUGUGCCAUGUGGACUUCUGUCAGUAUAUCUGAACACCAAAAACCAGACAAGCGGUUCAUUUCUCAAAAAGCUGGAAGGCCAAAACAAAAUAAUCUCAUUCUUGAGAUGGAGCUUCUGAUCAGGUCAACUUUUUUUUUUUUUUUUGUAUCUGAAAAGAUGAAUCUUUUAUUGUUAACUUACUUACCAAUAAAUGUCUUGUCCCAUU